UACGUAGGUAGCAAGCGUUGUCCGGAAUCAUUGGGCGUAAAGCGCGCGUAGGCGGCCCGGUCAGUCCGUCGUGAAAGUCAAAGGCUCAACCUUUGAAUGUCGAUGGAUACUGCCGGGCUAGAGUCCGGAAGAGGCGAGUGGAAUUCCUGGUGUAGCGGUGGAAUGCGCAGAUAUCAGGAGGAACACCAAUAGCGAAGGCAGCUCGCUGGGACGGUACUGACGCUAAGGCGCGAAAGCGUGGGGAGCGAACAGG
rnacentral:rRNA from 1 species